AUUGAACGCUGGCGGCAGGCCUAACACAUGCAAGUCGAACGAGGGGCGGGCGGGUGAGUAGUGUCUGGGAAACCGCCUGAUGGAGGGGGAUAAAUUCUGGAAAGGGUAGCUAAUACCGCAUAACCUCAGGUGUCCCCAGAUGGGAUUGGCGAGUUGGUGGGGAAACGGCUCCCCAAGGCGACGAUCCCUAGCUGGUCUGAGAGGACGACCAGCCACACUGGAACUGAGACACGGUCCAGACUCCUACGGGAGGAAGCAGUGGGGAAUAUUGCACAAUGGGCGCAAGCCUGAUGCAGCCAUGCCGCGUGUAUGAAGAAGGCCUUCGGGUUGUAAAGCACUUUCAGCGGGGAGGCGUUACCCGCAGAAGAAGCACCGGCUAACUCCGUGCCAGCAGCCGCGGUAAUAC
rnacentral:rRNA from 1 species